rnacentral:rRNA from 1 species
UGGGGAAUAUUGGACAAUGGGGGAAACCCUGAUCCAGCAAUGCCGCGUGUGUGAAGAAGGCCUGCGGGUUGUAAAGCACUUUUGUUGGGGAAGAAAAGCUGUCGGAUAACACCCGGCGGUCUUGACGGUACCCAAAGAAUAAGCACCGGCUAACUCCGUGCCAGCAGCCGCGGUAAUACGGAGGGUGCGAGCGUUAAUCGGAAUUACUGGGCGUAAAGCGCGCGUAGGCGGUUUGAUAAGUCGGGUGUGAAAGCCCCGGGCUUAACCUGGGAAUUGCAUUCGAUACUGUCUGACUCGAGUCUGGGAGAGGGAAGCGGAAUUCCGGGUGUAGCGGUGAAAUGCGUAGAUAUCCGGAGGAACAUCAGUGGCGAAGGCGGCUUCCUGGCCUAAGACUGACGCUGAGGUGCGAAAGCGUGGGGAGCAAACAGGAUUAGAUACCCCCGUAGUCC